rnacentral:rRNA from 1 species
UACGUAGGGGGCAAGCGUUAUCCGGAUUUACUGGGUGUAAAGGGAGCGCAGACGGCUAUGCAAGUCUGAAGUGAAAGCCCGGGGCUCAACCCCGGGACUGCUUUGGAAACUGUGCAGCUAGAGUGUCGGAGAGGUAAGCAGAAUUCCCAGUGUAGCGGUGAAAUGCGUAGAUAUUGGGAAGAAUACCGGUGGCGAAGGCGGCUUACUGGACGAUAACUGACGUUCAGGCUCGAAGGCGUGGGGAGCAAACAGG